rnacentral:lncRNA from 1 species
GCACGUUCCCGAGGCACAGGGAGCCGCACGUUCCCGGGGAAGGUGCCAGAGGCCAGCUGGACGGCCCCGGCGCACUCCCGCCCCGGCGCACUCCCGCCCCGGCGCACUCCGACCCCGGCGCACUCCCGCCCCGGCGCACCCUGCUCCCCGGCGCGUACCCAGGGGCCACGAUUUUGGCUGGGCGAAAGCGGCCCGCUCCCGCCUCUCCUUGAGUGCGCUGAUUACAUCUACCGGAGACACCUUCCCUUCCCUUGGGGAUCCCAACUCUCAGCUCUUCAGAAAGCAAUGACAAGGCAUCUGACUCAUCCUCCUGCACCUCUUUUCAAUUACUGACUUAAACCAGGUAAGCCUGACCACAAAAGAGAAACUUGUCUGCUCCCUUUUAUUUGGUUUAAGUUUCCUCAGGGAUGUCCUGAGAAUCCUAUGUGAAAAGCCAACCCUGACACUCACACCAUUUCGAUUCUUGAAAAUGUUCACCAUCUUAACACCAUUGUAUGCCGAGCCAGAAUUACUGCAAUACUGAGUGUAUAUUUAAAUUAAAAAUUAAUGUCAAACAGCGCAUGCCUUACAUUCUCUGUGUCUGUGCUAUGCUCAUGCCCUAUUUUAUUAACGAAUGCCACUAAUGAGCUGUUCUGUCUCCAUAUCCAUAAAAUUAUCAUUGACCCUUUGCUAGUAAAAUAAGCCUGAGUCAUCAGCAUGAGACUAUAAUUGACAUCCUUCCGUUUCCAUAUUUUUUAACACUCAUAGUUUUCCAUCAAUGAUACCAUAAGCACACCUCAUCCUAUUAAAGAUGACAUCAUGGUCUCUAGCAUGAAGCUUUUCAGA